rnacentral:rRNA from 1 species
AGUGAGGAAUAUUGCACAAUGGGGGAAACCCUGAUGCAGCAACGCCGCGUGGAGGAUGACGCAUUUCGGUGUGUAAACUCCUUUUAUAUGUCAAGAAAAUGACGGUAGCAUAUGAAUAAGCACCGGCUAACUCCGUGCCAGCAGCCGCGGUAAUACGGAGGGUGCAAGCGUUAUUCGGAAUCACUGGGCGUAAAGGACGCGUAGGCGGGUUGGAAAGUCAGAUGUGAAAUCCUACAGCUUAACUGUAGAACUGCAUUUGAAACUUCCAAUCUAGAGUAUGGGAGGGGGAGAUGGAAUUAGUGGUGUAGGGGUAAAAUCCGUAGAUAUCACUAGGAAUACCGAAAGCGAAGGCGAUCUCCUGGAACAUAACUGACGCUAAGGCGUGAAAGCGUGGGGAGCAAACAGGAUUAGAUACCCUGGUAGUCCACGCCCUAAACGAUGUUCACUAGUCGUCGGGAUGCUAGUCAUCUCGGUGAUGCACUUAACAGAUUAAGUGAACCGCCUGGGGAGUACGGUCGCAAGAUUAAAACUCAAAGGAAUAGACGGGGACCCGCACAAGUGGUGGAGCAUGUGGUUUAAUUCGAAGAUACGCGAAGAACCUUACCUAGCCUUGACAUUGAAGAAAUAGACCAGAGAUGGACUAGUGCCCUUCGGGGAAUCUGAAAACAGGUGCUGCACGGCUGUCGUCAGCUCGUGUCGUGAGAUGUUGGGUUAAGUCCCGCAACGAGCGCAACCCUCGUCCUUAGUUGCUAGCAGUUCGGCUGAGCACUCUAAGGAGACUGCCUUCGUAAGGAGGAGGAAGGUGAGGACGACGUCAAGUCAUCAUGGCCCUUAUGGCUAGGGCUACACACGUGCUACAAUGGGGCGUACAGAGUGUUGCGAUACCGCGAGGUGGAGCUAAUCACUUAAAGCGUCUCUCAGUUCGGAUUGGAGUCUGCAACUCGACUCCAUGAAGCUGGAAUCACUAGUAAUCGUAGAUCAGCAAUGCUACGGUGAAUACGU